GACGAACGCUGGCGGCGUGCUUAACACAUGCAAGUCGAACGGACAGGCCCUGCUCUUGUGGGGUGCACGUGUGCCGAACGGGUGAGUAACACGUGAGUAUCCUGCCCUUGACUUUGGGAUAACUCCAGGAAACUGGGGCUAAUAUCGGAUAGGAGCUCCUGCUGCAUGGUGGGGGUUGGUAAGUUUCGGCGGUUGGGGAUGGACUCGCGGCUUAUCAGCUUGUUGGUGGGGUAGUGGAUUACCAAGGCUUUGACGGGUAGCCGGCCUGAGAGGGUGACCGGCCACAUUGGGACUGAGAGACGGCCCAGACUCCUACGGGAGGCAGCAGUGGGGAAUAUUGCACAAUGGGCGGAAGCCUGAUGCAGCAACGCCGCGUGCGGGAUGACGGCCUUCGGGUUGUAAACCGCUUUCGCCUGUGACGAAGCGUGAGUGACGGUAAUGGGUAAAGAAGCACCGGCUAACUACGUG
rnacentral:rRNA from 1 species